CCUACGGGAGGCAGCAGUGAGGAAUAUUGGUCAAUGGGCGAGAGCCUGAACCAGCCAAGUCGCGUGAGGGAGUACUGCCCUAUGGGUUGUAAACCUCUUUGGUCGGGGAGCAAAAGCCGGACGUGUCCGGCUGUGAGAGUACCCGAAGAAAAAGCAUCGGCUAACUCCGUGCCAGCAGCCGCGGUAAUACGGGGGAUGCGUGCGUUAUCCGGAUUUAUUGGGUUUAAAGGGUGCGCAGGCGGAUUUUUAAGUCAGCGGUAAAAUCGUGGGGCUCAACCCCAUCCAGCCGUUGAAACUGGGGAUCUAGAGUGUGCGAGAGGUAUGCGGAAUGCGUGGUGUAGCGGUGAAAUGCAUAGAUAUCACGCAGAACCCCGAUUGCGAAGGCAGCAUACCGGUGCACAACUGACGCUCAGGCACGAAAGCGUGGGUAUCGAACAGGAUUAGAUACCCGAGUAGUC
rnacentral:rRNA from 1 species